UGGUCAAAGGUGUGCUGCUGCUGCUGUUGAGUCUGCAGGUUUUCCUGCUCGUCACAACCGUAACUUCUUCUGAUGCAGCCCCUGCGAGGACAGAGCCUCAACCUCUUGGUUUUCACCCUGUUGGAAGAUGCUAGGAGGAUGUGGAUUGGCAGGCAUCCCUGGACGUGAGACAACCCCUCCUCCUAGGCCGGAGGAGCCAACAUCUGAGGAAUGGAGUUUGGAGGCAUUAUCUAAACCUUUGCUUUAAAGAACAUGAAUUGUAUUGAUCAUGUACCUGCAUCACAUACACACUGCUCUGAUAUUAUUGGCUGUUAAAUCUAAAAGCACUGUUACUAAAAUUGCUGUUGAUUUAUGUUUAUGCUGCAUAGAGUCAACAGUGAGUAACAGAGAAUCAAUGCUGUUCUGAAUAAAGUGCUCACAUUGUUGUAUGUAUGUGUUUC